GACGAACGCUGGCGGCGUGCCUAAUACAUGCAAGUAGAACGCUGAAGAGAGGAGCUUGCUCUUCUUGGAUGAGUUGCGAGCGGGUGAGUAACGCGUAGGUAACCUGCCUUGUAGCGGGGGAUAACUAUUGGAAACGAUAGCUAAUACCGCAUAACAAUAGGUGACACAUGUCAUUUAUUUGAAAGGGGCAAUUGCUCCACUACAAGAUGGAUCUGCGUUGUAUUAGCUAGUAGGUGAGGUAACGGCUCACCUAGGCGACGAUACAUAGCCGACCUGAGAGGGUGAUCGGCCACACUGGGACUGAGACACGGCCCAGACUCCUACGGGAGGCAGCAGUAGGGAAUCUUCGGCAAUGGGGGCAACCCUGACCGAGCAACGCCGCGUGAGUGAAGAAGGUUUUCGGAUCGUAAAGCUCUGUUGUAAGUCAAGAACGAGUGUGAGAGUGGAAAGUUCACACUGUGACGGUAGCUUACCAGAAAGGGACGGCUAACUACGUG
rnacentral:rRNA from 1 species